GUCCCUAUGGUGGAACAGCAGACACGUUGGCCUCAAAAGCCAAUGCUCUUUGAGCGCGGGAGUGCGAAUCUCUCUAGGGACACCA
rnacentral:tRNA from 1 species